AGAGUUUGAUCCUGGCUCAGAUUGAACGCUGGCGGCAGGCCUAACACAUGCAAGUCGAGCGGCAGCGGGAAAGUAGCUUGCUACUUUUGCCGGCGAGCGGCGGACGGGUGAGUAAUGUCUGGGAAACUGCCUGAUGGAGGGGGAUAACUACUGGAAACGGUAGCUAAUACCGCAUAACGUCUUCGGACCAAAGAGGGGGACCUUCGGGCCUCUUGCCAUCAGAUGUGCCCAGAUGGGAUUAGCUAGUAGGUGAGGUAAUGGCUCACCUAGGCGACGAUCCCUAGCUGGUCUGAGAGGAUGACCAGCCACACUGGAACUGAGACACGGUCCAGACUCCUACGGGAGGCAGCAGUGGGGAAUAUUGCACAAUGGGCGCAAGCCUGAUGCAGCCAUGCCGCGUGUAUGAAGAAGGCCUUCGGGUUGUAAAGUACUUUCAGCGAGGAGGAAGGCAUUGUGGUUAAUAACCACAGUGAUUGACGUUACUCGCAGAAGAAGCACCGGCUAACUCCGUGCCAGCAGCCGCGGUAAUACGGAGGGUGCAAGCGUUAAUCGGAAUUACUGGGCGUAAAGCGCACGCAGGCGGUUGGAUAAGUUAGAUGUGAAAGCCCCGGGCUCAACCUGGGAAUUGCAUUUAAAACUGUCCAGCUAGAGUCUUGUAGAGGGGGGUAGAAUUCCAGGUGUAGCGGUGAAAUGCGUAGAGAUCUGGAGGAAUACCGGUGGCGAAGGCGGCCCCCUGGACAAAGACUGACGCUCA
rnacentral:rRNA from 1 species